rnacentral:rRNA from 1 species
GACGAACGCUGGCGGCGUGCUUAACACAUGCAAGUCGAACGGAAAGGCCCUGCUUUUGUGGGGUGCUCGAGUGGCGAACGGGUGAGUAACACGUGAGUAACCUGCCCUUGACUUUGGGAUAACUUCAGGAAACUGGGGCUAAUACCGGAUAGGAGCUCCUGCUGCAUGGUGGGGGUUGGAAAGUUUCGGCGGUUGGGGAUGGACUCGCGGCUUAUCAGCUUGUUGGUGGGGUAGUGGCUUACCAAGGCUUUGACGGGUAGCCGGCCUGAGAGGGUGACCGGCCAUGUGGCGACGGGGAUACGGCCCAGACUCGUAGGGGGGGCAGUAGGGGGAAAUGUUGCACACGGGGCGGAAGGCGGAGGCGGCAAGGCGGCGGGCGGGGUGAGGGCCUGGGGGGUGUGACCCGCGUCCGCCUGGGGCGAAGGGGGAGUGCGGAUAAGGGCUAAAGAAGCACGGGCUAACUACGGGCCGGCAGCCGCGGGAAAGGAGAAGAGCAGACUUCGGAGC